UAAGUGAAGAGUUUGAUCCUGGCUCAGAGUGAACGCUGGCGGUAGGCCUAACACAUGCAAGUCGAACGGCAGCACAGUAAGAGCUUGCUCUUAUGGGUGGCGAGUGGCGGACGGGUGAGGAAUACAUCGGAAUCUACCUUUUCGUGGGGGAUAACGUAGGGAAACUUACGCUAAUACCGCAUAAGACCUUCGGGUGAAAGCCGGGGACCUUCGGGCCUGGCGCGGAUAGAUGAGCCGAUGUCGGAUUAGCUUGUUGGCGGGGUAAAAGCCCACCAAGGCGACGAUCCGUAGCUGGUCUGAGAGGAUGAUCAGCCACACUGGAACUGAGACACGGUCCAGACUCCUACGGGAGGCAGCAGUGGGGAAUAUUGGACAAUGGGCGCAAGCCUGAUCCAGCCAU
rnacentral:rRNA from 1 species